rnacentral:rRNA from 1 species
UAGGGAAUCUUCCGCAAUGGACGAAAGUCUGACGGAGCAACGCCGCGUGAGUGAUGAAGGUUUUCGGAUCGUAAAGCUCUGUUGUUAGGGAAGAAUAAGUACCUGUUGAAUAAGCAGGUACCUUGACGGUACCUAACCAGAAAGCCACGGCUAACUACGUGCCAGCAGCCGCGGUAAUACGUAGGUGGCAAGCGUUGUCCGGAAUUAUUGGGCGUAAAGCGCGCGCAGGCGGUUCCUUAAGUCUGAUGUGAAAGCCCACGGCUCAACCGUGGAGGGUCAUUGGAAACUGGGGAACUUGAGUGCAGAAGAGGAGAGCGGAAUUCCACGUGUAGCGGUGAAAUGCGUAGAGAUGUGGAGGAACACCAGUGGCGAAGGCGGCUCUCUGGUCUGUAACUGACGCUGUGGCGCGAAAGCGUGGGGAGCGAACAG